rfam:Agrilus planipennis Contig22247, whole genome shotgun sequence.
ACAUUGCCUCUAUUUGAAUAUUAGAUAAACACUAUCUUUCUGAACUAAGAGUUUAUUUGGCUUGGCCGGGGGGACUUGGGAGUAACAGCUUUAUGGUUGAAAUCCCAUCUCGAGGAGGGGUUUUAGUAGGUAGGCGCUACGGCGAAUCCGACACAAACCCCCUUCAGGGGGUGUCUUUUGAAGAUUUCCCCUCCUCGAGGCUA